GCGAAAGCCUGAUGCAGCCAUGCCGUGUGAAUGAUGAGGGCCCUAGGGUUGUAAAAUUCUUUCAUCAGGGACGAUAAUGACGGUACCUGAAGAAGAAGCCCCGGUUAACUUCGUGCCAGCAGCCGCGGUAAUACGAAGGGGGCUAGCGUGGUCCGGAAUUACUGGGCGUAAAGCGCGCGUAGGCUGACUAUUAAGUCAGAUGUGAAAUCCCGGGGCUCAACCUCGGAACUGCUUUUGAAACUGGUAGUCUAGAGGCCAGGAGAGGUUAGUGGAAUGCCGAGUGUAGAGGUGAAAUUCGUAGAUAUUCGGUGGAACACCAGUGGCGAAGGCGACUGACUGGACUGGUACUGACGCUGAGGUGCGAAAGUGUGGGGAGCAAACAGGAUUAGAUACCCUGGUAGUCCACACCGUAAACGAUGAGUGCUAGUUGUCGGCAGGCAUGCCUGUCGGUGAUGCAGCUAACGCAUUAAGCACUCCGCCUGGGGAGUACGGCCGCAAGGUUAAAACUCAAAGAAAUUGACGGGGGCCCGCACAAGCGGUGGAGCAUGUGGUUUAAUUCGAAGCAACGCGCAGAACCUUACCUACCCUUGACAUGCCCGGUUCGGUCGCCAGAGAUGGCUUCCUUGAUUCGUUCGCCGGUGCACAGGUGCUGCAAGGCUGUCGUCAGCUCGUGUCGUGAGAUGUUGGGUUAAGUCCCGCAACGAGCGCAACCCUCAUCCUUAGUUGCCAUCAGGUUUGGCUGGGCACUCUAAGGAAACUGCCGGUGGCAAGCCGGAGGAAGGUGGGGAUGACGUCAAGUCCUCAUGGCCCUUACGGGUAGGGCUACACACGUGCUACAAUGGCAGUGACAAUGGGAUAAUCCCCAAAAACUGUCUCAGUUCGGAUUGUCGUCUGCAACUCGACGGCAUGAAGUUGGAAUCGCUAGUAAUCGUGGAUCAGCAUGCCACGGUGAAUACGUUCCCGGGCCUUGUACACACCGCCCGUCACAUCAUGGGAGUUGGUUCUACCCGAGGACCGUGCGCUAACUUCGGAGGCAGCGGGCCACGGUAGGAUCAGCGACUGGGAUGA
rnacentral:rRNA from 1 species